rnacentral:rRNA from 1 species
AUUGAACGCUGGCGGCAGGCUUAACACAUGCAAGUCGAGCGGAGCGAGGGUGCUUGCACCUUAGCUUAGCGGCGGACGGGUGAGUAAUGCUUAGGAAUCUGCCUAUUAGUGGGGGACAACAUUCCGAAAGGAAUGCUAAUACCGCAUACGCCCUACGGGGGAAAGCAGGGGAUCUUCGGACCUUGCGCUAAUAGAUGAGCCUAAGUCGGAUUAGCUAGUUGGUGGGGUAAAGGCCUACCAAGGCGACGAUCUGUAGCGGGUCUGAGAGGAUGGUCGGCCAAACUGGGACGGGAACACGGCCCAGACGCCUACGGGAGGCAGCAGUGGGGAAUAUUGGACAAUGGGCGGAAGCCUGAUCCAGCCAUGCUGCGUGUGUGAAGAAGGCCUUUUGGUUGUAAAGCACUUUAAGCGAGGAGGAGGCUACUUAGAUUAAUACUCUGGGAUAGUGGACGUUACUCGCAGAAUAAGCACCGGCUAACUCUGUGCCAGCAGCCGCGGUAA